GGCCCCGGGGCCUGCUGGGAAACGGCGGGGCCGGUGUGUUCGUCCCGGGGCAUGCUGGGAAGCGGGAAGGCGGGAGGGGGUGUCCCAGAGCAUGCUGGGAAAUGGCGGGUGCCCGCUGAGCUCGCCACAGAGCAUGAUGGGAAGUGGGGGGGACCGUCGUCCCGGCCCCGGGGCAUGAUGGGAAACAGGGGGUGCCCCAGAUCAUGAUAGCAAAUGGGGGGGCCAUUGCCCCUGCCCCAGGGCAUGCUGGGAAAUGGGGGUGCCCCGGGGCAUGAUGGGAACUGGGGACCAUUGCCCCUGCCCUGGGGCAUGAUGGGAAAUGGGGAUGCUCCAGGGCAUGCUGGGAAACAAGGGGUGCCCCAGGGCAUGCUGGGAAACAGGGACCGUUGCCCCUACCCUGGAGCAUGCUGGGAAGCAGGGGGUGCCCCGGGGCAUGGAGGGGAGCAGGGCGUGGCCAUUCCCGUGCCCCGGGGCAUGCUGGGAAAUGGGGGGUGCCCCCCACCCCCAAGCCCCCGGGAAGCGGUGCCCGGGCGCCCCGCGGCAUGCUGGUAGCGGGGGGGGCCGGGGGGGCCCAGCGUGGUGUCGCCGGCGCCAGGGGGGACCUGGAGCAGCAGCUGCGGACGGUCAUCGACGAGCUGGGCAAGGCCUCGGCCAAGGUCCGGCCGCAACCGGGCAAAAACGGGCGGAACCGGGUGAAAAUGGGGCGGAACCGGGUGAAAAUAGACAAAAACGGGGGGAAAUGGGGGGGAAACAGGGUGGAACUGGGGCAGAACCGGGCAAAAUGGGGCGAAACAGGGCAAAACCCGGGCAGAACGGGGCAAAAAUGGGCAAAACAGGGCAGAACCGGGCAAAAAUGGGCAAAAUGGAGGGAAAUGGGGGGAAACGGGGCAGAACUGGGCAAAAUGGGGUGAAACCAGGCGGAACGGGCUGAGACUGGGCAGAACCGGGCAAAACGGGGCAAAACAGGGGGAAAUGAGGGGAAACAGGCUGAAACGGGGCGAAACGGGGCGGAACUGGGCAAAACCAGACAAAA
rnacentral:lncRNA from 1 species